GCCCCCAUAGCUUAAAUGGAUAGAGCGUCGCAGUCCUAAUGCGAUCAUCCCCGUUCGAUUCGGGGUGGGGGCA
rnacentral:tRNA from 1 species